rnacentral:lncRNA from 1 species
AGGAGAGUAGGCUAUAGGAGGGCUAAGGGACAUGGUUGUAUGCAUCAAGAUGAUGAAAAGCUUGUUUUUCUUUUUUAUUUUUUUUAAAUUUUUUUUGUGAGGUAAAUUGAUGAUUGUCGUUUAUUUUUGCAUUUGGUGGACCCAAAUUAAUUAAAAUAAUUUUUUUAGCUAUUGUUAUUUCAUAUUGAUAAUAUGUAUAGCAUAAUCAAUAAUGAGUAAAAUUAUUUUUCUAAUCUUGUAGCACAUAUUUAAUUUGUACAUAAUUAAUUUAUUUCUUUAAUAAUUUAUAUAUUAAAUUUUGAUUUUAAUUCAAAUAUGUUUUGACACAUAUAUUUUAUAUAAAAUUUAAUAAUUAUUCAAUAUAAGUUGUUUUUAAGAGAAAAUUAAGUUUUUUU